UGUUUAUGCUGGACCAUAGUUAAUAUAAUGAGAGGGUUUGGAAGGCCGGCAAACUUCAAAGGAUAACGCCCCCUUUCGUGAGCUGAACUCGAUAGAGGGCAUCACGUGACAGUUAUAGUGCAUCAUGGCGUGAUUCUAUAAUACAAUUCCCUAUUGACAACUUAGAAAUCUUUAAUUUUCGCUCGUUAUACGAGGUUUGGGUGGAAUACAAGGUUUUAUCGCAAAUCUCCAUCGUAAGUGGCAACUUUUGAGACGUUUUUAUGUGUGAUAACCCAAAUUGCUGACGCUGUGUAUAGUAUCAAUUUCAAGUGAAGCGAAGUCAUACUGCUAAAGCCGUUCGAAAUGGUCGUUGAAAAUGCACGUUUAAGGUUUGGAAUCAUGGAAAUAGAUGAGGAAAUUGAUACUGAGCGUUUAGAAAGCUCUUGUUCACCUUUGAGGACGAUUUAGAGUAAACAACUGCGCUUCGCGAGAUGGACGUGGAUGAAGUUCAGAUUGAAGUUCAACAAGCGCUUGAAGAGGUAUGAAAUAUAAAAUUUAGACGAUGAUUUUUAUACAUAUAUUACUGUAAACAUAGAUAUUUACCUAAUGAAUAUUUUCCCUUUCAAUACAUCGUCUCUAGAUUGAAGGAAAGAAACAGUUUCCUUUCAGAUUUGCAGUUUCUGUGAGAAAGUUUGCAAAUCCAAAGGCGGCCUGACAAGACACCGCGACGCAGUAUGAAACAUGUUGCAGAAUUCGGUGAGGGAUCUUCUACAUUUCAAACAGUGAUAUUAGUAGAAAAAGUUGCCGAAUUAAUACGUGAUAUCGGUCCACACUUGGUUCAGUUGGUUGACGAAAAACUGUAUAACGUAUGCCCUACUUUAGUAUUUACUCUGUUUAACGCCAGGCGAUUUUACCUGUCAAGGGAAGCAUCUAAGAUAAUAUUUCUGUGCCACCAAAGGGCAGUCUCACUCUCAGAGCCAACCAAAUGUAAUUAGAAUAAUUAAUCAUAGAUUCUUGUUUGAAUUUUAGGAAGAAUUGUCUUUGUCACCUCAGGAGCUUGGACCAUUAUCAUAUUUGACUGGAUAUGUGAUAAGAUCUUUAUACCAGAGAAGCAAGAACUGUUAUAGGAGCAAUUCUUCCUGGAACAAAGAAGUCCAAGCCUCGAUGUCAUCAAUGCGACAGGACACAGAGGCCAAUAAAUACAUUUCAUCCUUGUUGAGGGGUGGACUUUGGUCACCACACUCAUGGAUUGUAAGCAUUGCAAGGUGUCAGAGUUAAUAUUUAAAACACACAUCAAAUAAAGACAAGGUUACUGUCUACCAGUAGACACAAUUGUGAAUGAAGUCCUAACUUCUCCUCUUGUGACAAACUUGUGGUGCAACAUUAUUCAAAACUGUGAUGUAGAAACUUCCAUGGAAUGUCAAUCUUUAUGUUUAGAGAAUGUUCAGUCAAAUUAUAUGUAACUGUAAGAUGUUUUCCUUUGCUAAGGAUAUUGUAAAUAAAUAUAAGAUAAGUCAGGGUACACAGAAAAAGAAAGCUUUAUGAAAAGACUUGAAGACAGGCACAGAUUUUUCGGGGGUGGGAACCCCCCCCAGAAAUGAUUUGCACCCUCCAGAGGCAUUUGGCACCGCCCCCAAAAGUCUUGGCACUCCCGCAAAUUAUAUAUAUUUUGAUUUGAUAGUUUCAUAUUUGAUUAUUCUUACUAAAUUUGUAAAAUUACCAAUAUUAUGGUCUCAGAUGAUCAGAUCUCACCAUGCAGGCCUAGAAAACAAAUUUUGUUAAACUUUUCCUUGGCCUUUCCGGGUGUUG
rnacentral:lncRNA from 1 species